AGCUGUGACGUUACUCGCAGAAGAAGGACCGGCUAACUCCGUGCCAGCAGCCGCGGUAAUACGGAGGGUCCGAGCGUUAAUCGGAAUUACUGGGCGUAAAGCGUACGCAGGCGGUUUGUUAAGCGAGAUGUGAAAGCCCCGGGCUCAACCUGGGAACUGCAUUUCGAACUGACAAACUAGAGUUUUGUAGAGGGUGGUAGAAUUUCAGGUGUAGCGGUGAAAUGCGUAGAGAUCUGAAGGAAUACCAGUGGCGAAGGCGGCCACCUGGACAAUAACUGACGCUCAUGUACGAAAGCGUGGGGAGCAAACGGGAUUAGAUACCCCGGUAGUCCACGCCGUAAACGAUGUCAACUAGCCGACUGGCCCCUUGAGGGCUGGGUGGCGCAGCUAACGCAUUAAGUUGACCGCCUGGGGAGUACGGCCGCAAGGUUAAAACUCAAAUGAAUUGACGGGGGCCCGCACAAGCGGUGGAGCAUGUGGUUUAAUUCGAUGCAACGCGAAGAACCUUACCUACUCUUGACAUCCACAGAAUUUAGCAGAGAUGCUUUAGUGCCUUCGGGAACUGUGAGACAGGUGCUGCAUGGCUGUCGUCAGCUCGUGUUGUGAAAUGUUGGGUUAAGUCCCGCAACGAGCGCAACCCCUAUCCUUAGUUGCCAGCACGUAAUGGUGGGA
rnacentral:rRNA from 1 species